GACGAACGCUGGCGGCGUGCUUAACACAUGCAAGUCGAACGAAGAGCGAUGGAAGCUUGCUUCUAUCAAUCUUAGUGGCGAACGGGUGAGUAACGCGUAAUCAACCUGCCCUUCAGAGGGGGACAACAGUUGGAAACGACUGCUAAUACCGCAUACGAUCUAACCUCGGCAUCGAGGAUAGAUGAAAGGUGGCCUCUACAUGUAAGCUAUCACUGAAGGAGGGGAUUGCGUCUGAUUAGCUAGUUGGAGGGGUAACGGCCCACCAAGGCGAUGAUCAGUAGCCGGUCUGAGAGGAUGAACGGCCACAUUGGGACUGAGACACGGCCCAGACUCCUACGGGAGGCAGCAGUGGGGAAUCUUCCGCAAUGGACGAAAGUCUGACGGAGCAACGCCGCGUGAGUGAUGACGGCCUUCGGGUUGUAAAGCUCUGUUAAUCGGGACGAAAGGCCUUCUUGCGAAUAGNGAGAAGGAUGACGNAC
rnacentral:rRNA from 1 species